rnacentral:rRNA from 1 species
AAAAAACUUUAAUUGAAGAGUUUGAUCAUGGCUCAGAUUGAACGCUGGCGGCAGGCUUAACACAUGCAAGUCGAGCGGUAACAGAGAGAAGCUUGCUUCUCUGCUGACGAGCGGCGGACGGGUGAGUAAUGCUUGGGUAUCUGCCUUGUGGUGGGGGACAACAGUUGGAAACGACUGCUAAUACCGCAUAAUCUCUACGGAGCAAAGUGGGGGACCUUCGGGCCUCACGCCACAAGAUGAACCCAAGUGGGAUUAGCUAGUUGGUAAGGUAACGGCUUACCAAGGCGACGAUCCCUAGCUGGUCUGAGAGGAUGACCAGCCACACUGGAACUGAGACACGGUCCAGACUCCUACGGGAGGCAGCAGUGGGGAAUAUUGCACAAUGGGCGCAAGCCUGAUGCAGCCAUGCCGCGUGUGUGAAGAAGGCCUUCGGGUUGUAAAGCACUUUCAGUCGUGAGGAAAGGUAACGUGUUAAUAGCACGUUGCUGUGACGUUAGCGACAGAAGAAGCACCGGCUAACUCCGUGCCAGCAGCCGCGGUAAUACGGAGGGUGCGAGCGUUAAUCGGAAUUACUGGGCGUAAAGCGCGUGUAGGUGGCUUGUUAAGCCAGAUGUGAAAGCCCCGGGCUCAACCUGGGAACUGCAUUUGGAACUGGCAGGCUAGAGUUUUGUAGAGGGUGGUAGAAUUUCAGGUGUAGCGGUGAAAUGCGUAGAGAUCUGAAGGAAUACCGGUGGCGAAGGCGACCACCUGGCCAAUAACUGACACUGAGACGCGAAGGCGUGGGUAGCAAACGGGAUUAGAUACCCCGGUAGUCCACGCAGUAAACGAUGUCUAUUAGGAGUUUGUGGCUAUAUGCCGUGGGCUCCAAAGCUAACGCAUUAAAUAGACCGCCUGGGGAGUACGGCCGCAAGGUUAAAACUCAAAUGAAUUGACGGGGGCCCGCACAAGCGGUGGAGCAUGUGGUUUAAUUCGAUGCAACGCGAAGAACCUUACCUACUCUUGACAUCCACGGAAUUUAGCAGAGAUGCUUUAGUGCCUUCGGGAACCGUGAGACAGGUGCUGCAUGGCUGUCGUCAGCUCGUGUUGUGAAAUGUUGGGUUAAGUCCCGCAACGAGCGCAACCCCUAUCCUUAGUUGCCAGCACGUCAUGGUGGGAACUCUAGGGAGACUGCCGGUGAUAAACCGGAGGAAGGUGGGGACGACGUCAAGUCAUCAUGGCCCUUACGAGUAGGGCUACACACGUGCUACAAUGGCGGAUACAAAGGGCAGCUAACUUGCGAGAGUGUGCGAAUCCCAAAAAGUCCGUCGUAGUCCGGAUUGGAGUCUGCAACUCGACUCCAUGAAGUCGGAAUCGCUAGUAAUCGUGGAUCAGAAUGCCGCGGUGAAUACGUUCCCGGGCCUUGUACACACCGCCCGUCACACCAUGGGAGUGGGCUGCAAAAGAAGUAGGUAGUUUAACCUUCGGGAGGACGCUUACCACUUUGUGGUUCAUGACUGGGGUGAAGUCGUAACAAGGUAGCCCUAGGGGAACCUGGGGCUGGAUCACCUCCUUACCAAAAGCGACGUUGUCUUGUUGACGAGAGUCA